GUGCUCGCUUCAGCAGUACGUAUACUAAAAUUGGAAUGAUAUAGAAGAGAUUAGCGUGGCCCCUGCACAAGGAUGACAUGCAAAUUCAUGAAGUGUUUCAUAUUUUU
ensembl:snRNA U6 U6 spliceosomal RNA